rnacentral:rRNA from 1 species
GAUGAACGCUGGCGGCGUGCCUAAUACAUGCAAGUCGAGCGAACAGACGAGGAGCUUGCUCCUCUGACGUUAGCGGCGGACGUGUGAGUAACACGUGGAUAACCUACCUAUCAGACUGGGAUAACUUCGGGAAACCGGAGCUAAUACCGGAUAAUAUAUUGAACCGCAGGGUUCAAUAGUGAAAGACGGCUUUGCUGUCACUUAUAGCGGGAUCCGCGCCGCAUUAGCUAGUUGGGAAGGUCACGGCUUACCAAGGCAACGAUGCGUAGCCGACCUGAUAGGGUGAUCGGCCACACUGGAACUGAGACACGGUCCAGACUCCUAAGGGAGGCAGCAGUAGGGAAUCUUCGGCAAUGGGCGAAAGUUUGACGGAGCAACGCCGCGUGAGUGAUAGAGGUCUUCGGAUCGUAAAACUCUGUUAUUAGGGAAGAACAAAUGUGUAAGUAGCUAUGCACGUCUUGACGGUACCUAAUCAGAAAGCCACGGCUAACUACGUG